rnacentral:lncRNA from 1 species
GCACACUUAAAACGGGUGUGAAAGACAUAUAACACUGUGAGAGGAUAUGGUAUGAUUGCCAAUGAGACAGCUCUCCACAUGAGACUACAUGAUAAAGAAAUUAACAACGCAUUUAUCAGGUUUGACACAAGAACAAGAAUAACAAAUUAAACAAUUCAUUACAGUAAACCACGAUGACUCAUCCCAAAUCGAAAUGCUAACUUUCCAUAAGAACCUUGGAAAAUAAAAUUGAAAAAUAUGUUCAUCUUCCC